GGUUAAGCGACUAAGCGUACACGGUGGAUGCCCUGGCAGUCAGAGGCGAUGAAGGACGUGCUAAUCUGCGAUAAGCGUCGGUAAGGUGAUAUGAACCGUUAUAACCGGCGAUUUCCGAAUGGGGAAACCCAGUGUGAUUCGUCACACUAUCAUUAACUGAAUCCAUAGGUUAAUGAGGCGAACCGGGGGAACUGAAACAUCUAAGUACCCCGAGGAAAAGAAAUCAACCGAGAUUCCCCCAGUAGCGGCGAGCGAACGGGGAGGAGCCCAGAGCCUGAAUCAGUGUGUGUGUUAGUGGAAGCGUCUGGAAAGGCGCGCGAUACAGGGUGACAGCCCCGUACACAAAAAUGCACAUGCUGUGAGCUCGAUGAGUAGGGCGGGACACGUGGUAUCCUGUCUGAAUAUGGGGGGACCAUCCUCCAAGGCUAAAUACUCCUGACUGACCGAUAGUGAACCAGUACCGUGAGGGAAAGGCGAAAAGAACCCCGGCGAGGGGAGUGAAAAAGAACCUGAAACCGUGUACGUACAAGCAGUGGGAGCACGCUUAGGCGUGUGACUGCGUACCUUUUGUAUAAUGGGUCAGCGACUUAUAUUCUGUAGCAAGGUUAACCGAAUAGGGGAGCCGAAGGGAAACCGAGUCUUAACUGGGCGUUAAGUUGCAGGGUAUAGACCCGAAACCCGGUGAUCUAGCCAUGGGCAGGUUGAAGGUUGGGUAACACUAACUGGAGGACCGAACCGACUAAUGUUGAAAAAUUAGCGGAUGACUUGUGGCUGGGGGUGAAAGGCCAAUCAAACCGGGAGAUAGCUGGUUCUCCCCGAAAGCUAUUUAGGUAGCGCCUCGUGAAUUCAUCUCCGGGGGUAGAGCACUGUUUCGGCAAGGGGGUCAUCCCGACUUACCAACCCGAUGCAAACUGCGAAUACCGGAGAAUGUUAUCACGGGAGACACACGGCGGGUGCUAACGUCCGUCGUGAAGAGGGAAACAACCCAGACCGCCAGCUAAGGUCCCAAAGUCAUGGUUAAGUGGGAAACGAUGUGGGAAGGCCCAGACAGCCAGGAUGUUGGCUUAGAAGCAGCCAUCAUUUAAAGAAAGCGUAAUAGCUCACUGGUCGAGUCGGCCUGCGCGGAAGAUGUAACGGGGCUAAACCAUGCACCGAAGCUGCGGCAGCGACGCUUAUGCGUUGUUGGGUAGGGGAGCGUUCUGUAAGCCUGUGAAGGUGUGCUGUGAGGCAUGCUGGAGGUAUCAGAAGUGCGAAUGCUGACAUAAGUAACGAUAAAGCGGGUGAAAAGCCCGCUCGCCGGAAGACCAAGGGUUCCUGUCCAACGUUAAUCGGGGCAGGGUGAGUCGACCCCUAAGGCGAGGCCGAAAGGCGUAGUCGAUGGGAAACAGGUUAAUAUUCCUGUACUUGGUGUUACUGCGAAGGGGGACGGAGAAGGCUAUGUUGGCCGGGCGACGGUUGUCCCGGUUUAAGCGUGUAGGCUGGUUUUCCAGGUAAAUCCGGAAAAUCAAGGCUGAGGCGUGAUGACGAGGCACUACGGUGCUGAAGCAACAAAUGCCCUGCUUCCAGGAAAAGCCUCUAAGCAUCAGGUAACAUCAAAUCGUACCCCAAACCGACACAGGUGGUCAGGUAGAGAAUACCAAGGCGCUUGAGAGAACUCGGGUGAAGGAACUAGGCAAAAUGGUGCCGUAACUUCGGGAGAAGGCACGCUGAUAUGUAGGUGAAGUCCCUCGCGGAUGGAGCUGAAAUCAGUCGAAGAUACCAGCUGGCUGCAACUGUUUAUUAAAAACACAGCACUGUGCAAACACGAAAGUGGACGUAUACGGUGUGACGCCUGCCCGGUGCCGGAAGGUUAAUUGAUGGGGUCAGCGCAAGCGAAGCUCUUGAUCGAAGCCCCGGUAAACGGCGGCCGUAACUAUAACGGUCCUAAGGUAGCGAAAUUCCUUGUCGGGUAAGUUCCGACCUGCACGAAUGGCGUAAUGAUGGCUAGGCUGUCUCCACCCGAGACUCAGUGAAAUUGAACUCGCUGUGAAGAUGCAGUGUACCCGCGGCAAGACGGAAAGACCCCGUGAACCUUUACUAUAGCUUGACACUGAACAUUGAGCCUUGAUGUGUAGGAUAGGUGGGAGGCUUAGAAGUGUGGACGCCAGUCUGCAUGGAGCCGACCUUGAAAUACCACCCUUUAAUGUUUGAUGUUCUAACGUUGACCCGUAAUCCGGGUUGCGGACAGUGUCUGGUGGGUAGUUUGACUGGGGCGGUCUCCUCCUAAAGAGUAACGGAGGAGCACGAAGGUUGGCUAAUCCUGGUCGGACAUCAGGAGGUUAGUGCAAUGGCAUAAGCCAGCUUGACUGCGAGCGUGACGGCGCGAGCAGGUGCGAAAGCAGGUCAUAGUGAUCCGGUGGUUCUGAAUGGAAGGGCCAUCGCUCAACGGAUAAAAGGUACUCCGGGGAUAACAGGCUGAUACCGCCCAAGAGUUCAUAUCGACGGCGGUGUUUGGCACCUCGAUGUCGGCUCAUCACAUCCUGGGGCUGAAGUAGGUCCCAAGGGUAUGGCUGUUCGCCAUUUAAAGUGGUACGCGAGCUGGGUUUAGAACGUCGUGAGACAGUUCGGUCCCUAUCUGCCGUGGGCGCUGGAGAACUGAGGGGGGCUGCUCCUAGUACGAGAGGACCGGAGUGGACGCAUCACUGGUGUUCGGGUUGUCAUGCCAAUGGCACUGCCCGGUAGCUAAAUGCGGAAGAGAUAAGUGCUGAAAGCAUCUAAGCACGAAACUUGCCCCGAGAUGAGUUCUCCCUGACUCCUUGAGAGUCCUGAAGGAACGUUGAAGACGACGACGUUGAUAGGCCGGGUGUGUAAGCGCAGCGAUGCGUUGAGCUAACCGGUACUAAUGAACCGUGAGGCUUAACCUU
rnacentral:rRNA from 1 species